rnacentral:lncRNA from 1 species
GUUGACGUCUUCCUCCUAUUUGGAGGUAUGCCCUUAUUCAGAAUGUCGAGCAUUUCCACGUCCAAAUUGGGUUCACUGGCAAUUUCAGUUAUAAUCACGUUAAUAGUUCGGGGCUCCGAUUUUUGCAGAGAGUUUAAAUAACAUGCCCUGGAGCCCAUCUGGUCGCCUCGUACCGUAGCAAUCCCAUGUUCAGUUGGGAAUUUCUUACACAAGUAGCAGAUGGAGGUGACAGUCCAAAUAUUUCAAGGCGGGUCUGCCCAAUACUUCAUGGUAGGCUGAUUUGUGGUCUACCAUCAAGAAUUCCAUGAAGUGUUGGGCCACUAGAGGAGUUUAACCCAUCUUGAUAGGCAGAGUAAUCCGCCCUCGUAGGACGAUGCUAUCUCCAGUAAAUCCGAAUAGUGGAUCGGUCAUGGGGAUCAACCCAUGUUCAAUUUGCAUCUUGUCAAAGGUGGAGCCCAACAGUAUAUUCACCUAACUGCCAUUGUCGACGAGCAUGCGUUUGAGCCCGUUUCUUGACACUACGGCUCUCACAACCAAUGCGUCACAAUGGCGGUGGUGAACUCCUUGUGCAUCUUCCUGGGGAAAGGUGAUUGGAGUCAUUCUAUUGGCCUCUUGGGACUCGUUGACAAUGUAAGUGAGCAUUGGUGGGUCCUUUGCUUCCCUUGUGUAAUUCCUUUGGGUGUUCCUGGUGUUGCCACCAAUGUGAGGUCCCCCAAUGAUCGUGUCGAUCUCCCUGAUGAUUUGGCCUCCAGAAAAUGGGGCCUGAUCUCUCUGUCUGGACUCUCCUCGAUCCCUUGAUUCUCUUUUUCGAGGUGACUACUCUCUAUGCCUUCUCUCUCCCUUGUUUGGGAAGGCGAAUCUGCGAGGAUAUUCCUUUCUCCUGGAGGGAUGUGGGUCAUUCCGAUCAGAGCGUCGAGGAGCGUCUCUGCACU